ensembl:lncRNA
GAUAUUUCUGUGGGCCUUCCAGAAGCUUCCAUCUACGCUAUUGUGAUUUCCCCAAAGACACUUCAUAACCUUGCUGAAAGGCAUCCAUAGUGCUUCAGAGAUGACACUUUUGGAUUAAAGAGGUUCCUCAUCCCUUCCAGAAGACUGCAGUCCCAGGAAAUGCAACCAAGUCAAGAGUUUACCUGAAGAAGAAGGUUCUUUGAUUGGCAAAGGAAUUGCUAUUCCUUCAUCUUUGCAUCUCUCCUGUUAGAUGCAAUACUAACUUUUGAUGAAGAGUUUCCAAGAGCUGGAAAUGAAGUUAACAAUGCAGUGCAAUGAGUCUUGUGAAGCAGUAGCAGAGUGCCACGCUACAGUGAAAACCUGCCUGUGCGCGCUGAGAUCCAAAUUGUAAAUCAUUGGUGCUUGGCUGCCAAAGCCAUGAGCAGGGAUUGCGGUCGUCAUCGGAGUGACCUAGAGCACUGGCUUAUUAACAGCAUGAUUUGUCUUGAUUCUUCAUGAUUUCUAUGGAGAAAGUUGUUUCCACCAUCAGUGGAGCCACUGGUGACGACACGCGCCGUCGAUAUCUUUCCUGAGGUGGGGGGAAGUUCAAGCAACACAUUUUCCCUAGACAGAGACUGUAGAUGGUGCAAAUGCACAUUGCAUGAAGCAAUGCCAGAGUCAGAAGUGGACUUAAAUUGUAAGUAACUGGAAAUGGUUGGUUGUCCCGAGGUGGUAAAUGAGGUAGUCACUUUUUCUAUUUGGAGACCAGAGCGUUCAGGCAAGCGUUAUGUGUGAAUAAACAGGCAAAACAGUCUCAAAAUGAUGUAUUCAGUAACUCCUGUUGUUUCCUUGUAUCUUAAAUGCCUUAAAAGCCUCUAUAUUCUUCUACAGUUACAUUUUUCUUUCAGUAGAGGUCUUAAUGCUUCCAUGUUCAUAGGGGAGGAAUCAUGUCCUGAUGUGUCAGCCAGAACACAGAAGGAAGUUUGUCGCUCAGUUUUUCUCCUGGGGUAGGGAGAAAAUUCCAAGUUUCCCAGGGAGCUCUCUAGGGCUAGAUGAGGUAUAUAUAAUUUGCCUGUUAAAUCUUCCUUUCAUGUUUGCUUUGAAUUGGAAGUUGGUGCAGCUACUUAACUCUUCAGCCAGAUUGAAUUGUCAGUGUCUUCAUGGAAAGAAAAUAAUGAGAGUAGGGUGAGAUCAGGCCUGAGAAACCAGAGGUGAAAAUACAAUUUCAGUAUCACGUGAGCAAGUUCAAAUAAGCAAACUUCAGAUCUUUGUCUAACAUGAUGCCUUUGAGGGCCCAAGCAACAUUUGUGCCAUCGUUCCUGCAGUGCUAGCAUCCCAUACACCACAGUUGUGCUUUGAACGCGUGCCACUAAUGCUAACAAAACCACUUGAUAACGAUAAUCCAGCUCAAUAUACCUGAAAUAAAAUGAUUUGAUUUUUCUCUUUUCAUGAUCGCUUUAAAUGUUUUUGUAAGUGUUCUGUGCUGGGUAGCUAGCUAGCUUUGAAAUCUUUCCCCUCUCUUUCCCCCUAAGAAAGUCUGCUCUAAAAGUGCAGUUUGUACCUAAGUGGUAACGUAAAAUAGCUCGGAUUAUGUGGAAGUAAGAGUGAUGCUUCUCUGAUAACAAACUGCUUCUGUGGAGGAAAAUGAUGCAAAUGUAGUAUAAUUAGUCAUAUCUGUAAAGAACUGAGCAGUCUAUAUGCUCAUUAAUGAAAAUUAAAGUUCCGGAUGGAGGAAAACAGUUGCUGAGCGUGGGGAAAGACCUGCUGUCAGGAGCGUUCUAGCCGUGAAUUGUUCUUGGAUGCAGAAAGGAGCAAAGGGCAGACACUGUCACAAAACUCAUGGUCAUGUUGUCACGACCGUACUUUAUGCUUCCUGGAAAUCAAAGCUGCCAUCUACAAACACCAGUUUUAAUGCCUCUUUUGGGCACAAACUCUUCUUCCCAAGAGCAUACAGCCAGCAGUGAGAACGGCAAGGGGCAACUGAUAGAGCAGCUCAGCAAUACGAGACUAAAGUGAGCUGUAAGAGGUGGCAUCAUAGAAAAUCCAUUUUAGAUUAAGUAUAAAUAGCUUUUUUUAUUACUAGAAAGAUUACUGAAGCUGUAAAUACUGUAAAUGCAGUCUUCCCACGCCAAGGAAGCUGUAAAUGUGUAUUACUUCUAGAGUGGUACAAGCAAAUAGUAGUAUGUUCACAAAGAUUCUAGCUUUGUAUGUUGGUCUUCAAGUAAAUUGUGGCGGAAAACUCGGAGGACAAAAACUGUCCGGUUUACAAGGGACCAUAUCAAAGGGUUUGUAAGAACAUUGUAAGAGAAAUAUUACUAGAAAAUCCAAAGCAUCUUAGAAGAGCUUUCCUAAGAUGUUUGUUGUUUUAAUUGAAAAUGUCACAUCUGCUAACUGUUCGUCACAAAAGACAGAAAGUACUUUGACAGAAUAUUUCUGCCUGGCACUGCCCAUUCAAUAUCUACCUCUACUAGUCCUAGUCUAGUUCAGCUACUGCAUAAUUUUAGCCAUUUAGCACAUAACGUAUGAAAAAAGUGUCAUUUAACCUGGUUGGUGAACAACUGUAUGAUGAUGGAUAACGUUUAGUUUUAAAAACUGUAAUGCAAUAAACCACAAACUUAGUGAAAGUCCUGUUGUUGGUUCAGUGCAGCAGCGUAUUUAUUGCUUCACUGCUGAUCUGUUAAAAUCUUAAUCAUAAACUCCACCAAGUUACUUGCAAUUGUACUGGGAUUUGCUUUCCCUUCCAGCCUUCCUAACCGGUUAACAAUGUUGUACUGUGUUUUUACGCUCUUCUCUGGUGGUAGCAAAUAUCGAAACUGGCAGGAAGUCAAUCAAAGAAUAAAAAUGCUGAGUUCUGUUU